GACCUGCGCUGCACCUGCUUGAGCAGGUCAGCCAUAGGUGGGGAGCAAAUGGAACGCACAUUCAGUGGUGUUUACUGCCUAGACCUGCGCUGGAAUUGAUGCAGCAUUCCAGUCGCAGGACAGGCGCAGAAGGGAUGCGUAACACUCGAGUUUUAGGUCGAGAAGCUGCAGGUAAACUGCUUGGACCUGCACUGGACAUGCUACAGCAGUCCAGACGUAGGUCAGCCGCAUGUUGGACGAAAAAACAACUGGUACUUACUGUCCUCAAAUGCGCUGGAACUGCUUAAGCAGUGCAGCCGUAAAUCUAACGCAUAGGGGACGCAGGUGAUCGUAUGAAGUAUUGUAACUUCAUAAUGGGGCAGAUUUUGUUGGGCUGACAUGGCCCGGUCAGUGCAAAACUUUAUGAAACACGUAAAAAAGGAUUCAAAAGCAGUCAACACUUACUUUUCUCAAAGCAAAUUCAUUCUAACGGGUUCUUUUAUCUCACACUCAACAUUCUCUCUCUCUUUACCAACAAUUAAACUAGCAAGGAUCAAGAUAAUUCUUUUGAACUUGUGAUUCACUUUUCUCUCUUAAAUCAAGUUAAAGAUAGGUAUGUCUCCAAGGAAGAACUUGCCACGAGAAGCUAGACAGGGUAAUCACUACAAAAAAUGGGUCAAAUUACGAGGGUUAAUUUUAAAACCCUCGCAAAAUGUAAUUCCGACAGUUCCCAAAACUCCCACAAUUCAAGCCGUCACAAACAAGUUGUGGCGGUUUUUUUCGACCCCCAUAAUUAAUUUGCGGCAGUUAUUUUGUAGCAGUUGACCCCCGUUACUCUAAAUUUAAUUAUUUUUAUUUAAAAGUUGUGGUGGUUUAAAA